rnacentral:rRNA from 1 species
GAUGAACGCUAGCGGGAGGCCUAACACAUGCAAGCCGAGCGGUAUUGUUUCUUCGGAAAUGAGAGAGCGGCGUACGGGUGCGUAACACGUGUGCAACCUGCCUUUAUCUGGGGGAUAGCCUUUCGAAAGGAAGAUUAAUACUCCAUAAUAUAUUUAACGGCAUCGUUUAAUAUUGAAAGCUCCGGCGGAUAGAGAUGGGCCCGCGCAAGAUUAGCUAGUUGGUGAGGUAACGGCUCACCAAGGCGAUGAUCUUUAGGGGGCCUGAGAGGGUGAUCCCCCACACUGGUACUGAGACACGGACCAGACUCCUACGGGAGGCAGCAGUGAGGAAUAUUGGUCAAUGGGUGCAAGCCUGAACCAGCCAUCCCGCGUGAAGGACGACUGCCCUAUGGGUUGUAAACUUCUUUUGGAUAGGGAUAAACCUACCCUCGAGAGGGUAGCUGAAGGUACUAUACGAAUAAGCACCGGCUAACUCCGUG